GACGAACGCUGGCGGCGUGCUUAACACAUGCAAGUCGAACGGAAAGGCCCUGCUUUUGUGGGGUGCUCGAGUGGCGAACGGGUGAGUAACACGUGAGUAACCUGCCCUUGACUUUGGGAUAACUUCAGGAAACUGGGGCUAAUACCGGAUAGGAGCUCCUGCUGCAUGGUGGGGGUUGGAAAGUUUCGGCGGUUGGGGAUGGACUCGCGGCUUAUCAGCUUGUUGGUGGGGUAGUGGCUUACCAAGGCUUUGACGGGUAGCCGGCCUGAGAGGGUGACCGGCCACGUUGGGACUGAGGUACGGCCCAGACUACUACGGGAGGCAGCAGUGGGGAAUAUUGCACAAUGGGCGGAAGCCUGCUGCAGCAACGCCGCGUGCUGGAUGACGGCCUUCGGGUUGUAAACCGCUUUCGCCUGUGACGAAGCGUGAGUGACGGUAAUGGGUAAAGAAGCACCGGCUAACUACGUG
rnacentral:rRNA from 1 species